AAAAAAGAUUGGCAACAGAUAUUAGCUCAGGUGUCAAUCAAAAAAAUAAUAAUAAAGGAAAAUAAUUUUUUAAAUCCUACUUUUUCAAAUUUUACAAAACCAUGGAACCCACUGCUGGGGUCUGAAGCCUGACCUUCAUUCAUUCCAAAUGAGUCAGCCUCUGGGCCAGGGCAUGUCUUGUGCAGAGGGUGGGGUGCGGGCCAGAGUUCACGUUGCUAACCACCCACUCAGCGCCUGGAUUUGGGCUGGUGCCACCUCACGGAAAUGUGUAAACUAGGGCCCGACCUCGGGGUGCCCGCGGGGGAGGCGGUGGGAAAACACCCCAGUGCGCCUGCGAGGAGGAGACCAGGAAGCCCACUCCGAGGGGACCUUCCAGCAGCCACCCUGCUGGCUGCGCAGAGCCGGGCUCCUCACCAGGAUGUGGUUCCCAAUUGGGCUCCCUCCUUGUCCCUCUUUGGCCAUCUGAUGGGUGCCUGGAAUUAGGAUCUUGGGCUUCAGGCCCUCAGAGAACCAAGAGGCAUCCCCAGCACGCAGCCUCUCCCCCUUCCCUCUGCUGAGUUGCUCUACAGGCCACAAGGGGACGUUUCCAGGGGUCAGCUGGUCUCUGCUCAGCUGCACCUGGGGCACAUGGCCAUGGCCAGCAUGCAGGCUGUGCAGUGGAGACUGGGCUCGGCCCAGGAGAAUGGGGCUGGGGGCUGACACAGAGACGUGGUUGGGGCAGGUGGCGCCCUCUCCCGGUCUCCUGUGCUGGGAUGACUGGGCACAGAGCACGAAGGCCCCCCUGGGGGAGAGCCUGCUGACGACCUAAACAGUUAGGGAGACACGUCGUGCACUUAGGGCCGUGAAACAACUGGAGAACUAGCAGUGGAGACCGGGCAGUGCUCCUGGGAGGAGGCCGGGGCAGAGUGAGCCACAGAAAAGGUUGGCCCGACAGGAAGCUCCUGGAUGGUGCUGGGAGGGGGUCCCCAAGUCAGCCGCAUAAGCAGGAAAAGGAAAGGAAAUGGAUUCUCCCUGGAGCCUCCAGAAGGAAUGCAGCCCUGGCGACCCUUUGAUCUGAGCCCAGUGGGACUCAUUUCUGACCUCUGACCUCCAGAACUGUGAGAUAAUGGAUGCGGGUCGUUUUAAGCCACUAAGCUUGUGGUCACCUGCUACAGUAGCUCUAGGAAACUACCACAGGUGGUGGAGGCAGACGGGGCCUGGGUAGGAGGAGCGGCUCUGGGUCUGCCCGGCCCCAGGCUGUGCCCCCUAUCCUACCAGAGGGGGUGUCUCUGCCAUCGGCAAGCCCUGGCCUCUCAGGUAGCCCCGUCCUUCCUCCCAGCUUUCCAGACACAGGACAUUUAGAGACGAUAGUAGCUUACACCCAAUAGUCUACACCAGACACUAAGGCACCCCAACAACCCUGUGAGGUGGCUCCUAUUAUUAUUCCCAUCUUAAAGGUCAAGAAGUGGAGGCUCAAGGUCAGCGCCUCACAUAAGUGGCCAUGGUCAUGGCAUCAUGCUUUCUCACCAGCAGAGGACCCCACAGGCACCACUCACUGUCACCGAUGCCUGAGGAGACAGGCCCUAGUCCCAGGACGGUGCUGCUGUGGGGACACAUGGCUUUCUCUUUCUAGCUCCGGAAACAUUCACAGUGUGAACUCUAACCCCCAAAUGGUGACGUGCUGCGUGGCUUCCUGCAGGGCCCACAGCGCUCCGGAGGUCAGAGCUCCUGUUUGUUCCCAUUGUGAACUCCAAACCCCUCUUGGGCCUUCGUACCCUGGGAGUCCCUGACCGACCACCAGGACAGGAGAGCUUCACCCGGGUUCUCCAUCAACGCUCAGCCGGGCGAGCCUGGAGGGCCGCAUCCCUUGAUGCAGAGUUAACAGCAACCGCGCAGCCUGUCAUCAACUCCCAGGCUGUAAUUAACACUCUUGUUACUUCACGUCAUAAACCGCACCAAAGUCUGCUGGAAACUGAUUUUAUUAUUAAUAAAUCACGUGAUAUAAAAGAAUGAGAAUAUUCAAAGGGCACUUAGUAAAAUCCUGCUUUGUCCCAAAGGGCAGGCAGAAAAGGUUAAGGCACAAUGGAUGCUUAGAAAACAGGAGAAAGAGGCUGAAGAAUAAAAA